AGACACAAGACAAUUUGGUUACCCAGUUCCCUUAUCGGAACCAGAGAAGAGAUUUCACCAACGCUAGAAAACACUGUAAUCUCCUUGCAACACAACCUGAUCAGCACUUGAGUGUAUUUAAAGGGCAAUGGAGCUGCUGUCAUGGGCUUCGUAGAAGACUUGACCCAAGACUUAAUUGUUGAAGUCGUAUGGGCUUUAACUCUUGAAUGCAGCCCACUUGUUUUGGACCCAAUAGAGUCUUGGCCCUCUUUGUCUGAAUUGAGACAACCAAACCCUUCAAUCUCCACCUUUGUCUUCGAUUCAGCUCAGCUCCGGUUUCAUCGCCUCCUGAUCUCACUCAGUCUCCAAACCUCUUCGAGUUUUAACCGAUCUGGGCUUCACGAUGCUUCCGCUAAUCUUACGACAUCAUCUCCUCUGUCAGCUUUACCGAUGACAGAUCAUGAUUUUCAUCUUUCCUAUCGCUCACAACUCUACCUUGCGAACUGCUCAACCGUUUCCGUUUAGCCACGAUUUCUGAUUGAUCCUCUAAUUUGAAGAAUCGUCGACUAUUCUUCUGCCCUUAGUAGUUCCAAUUUUGAUGAUCGAACCCAGACCCAUGUGCCUCUCAGUUUGACCACUGACGACACGUAGUACCUUGACUCUCUCACUUAACCUCAACACUGUAACUCUCACUGAUUCAGUAGUUUCAGAGAAUCCAGACUUCAAGACGGUAGAAUUUCAGUUUUAGUAAUUACCGAUACUGAUACACCUCAAUAUCUGUUUCAUGUCCAUUGUGAGAUUAUCAAAUCGACCAAGAUCAAUCUCUGGACUUCCUUUGCUGACUUAUGCUGAGACGUUCAGAAGUGCCAGGCACUUCUCAAAACUGUUACCAGGUGCGAAGAUUUCAUUGUAGUCUACCCCUUCGAUCUGCGUGAAACCUUUUGCUACAAGUCGGGCUUUGUACCUUGGAUCUUCCACACCAGGUUGCAGAAUUCAAGUCCGUUGUCAGUCCUGAGGCACUUAAUCUUCUUCUUGGUUUGGUUUUCAACCAGGUUUUUCCACUCCGAGAAGUGAUCAAAGACCUCAUCCUUGCUUCUCUGAAAUCGUAUCCAUACCUUUCGUGAGAAGUCAUCUAUGAACGUGAGGAAGUACUUGCAUCCUGACAGGCUUGGUUCA